CACCGCCCGUCAAGCCAUGAGAGCUGUCUGCACUAGAAAAUGCUUAUGCUAACCGUAAGGAGGCAGGUAUUUAAAGUGUGGGGGGGUGAUUGGGGCU
rnacentral:rRNA from 1 species